GCGAGGGUGGCGGAAUUGGCAGACGCGCUAGACUUAGGAUCUAGUGGGGGAGACCUUGUGUGGGUUCGAGUCCCACCUCUCGCACCA
rnacentral:tRNA from 1 species